rnacentral:rRNA from 1 species
ACGGAAAAGGGAAAGGGCGUUAGUGGCGGACGGGUGAGUAACGCGUGGGUAACCUGGCCCAUACAGGGGGAUAACACUUAGAAAUAGGUGCUAAUACCGCAUAACAACAGAAAGCGCAUGCUUUUUGUUUGAAAACCAAGGUGGUAUGGGAUGGACCCGCGUCUGAUUAGCUGGUUGGCGGGGUAAAGGCCCACCAAGGCGACGAUCAGUAGCCGGCCUGAGAGGGUGGACGGCCACAUUGGGACUGAGACACGGCCCAAACUCCUACGGAAGGCAGCAG